rnacentral:lncRNA from 1 species
AGACUUGUUUGUGAGAAAAAAAGCACACUUAAACUAGCGCAAGCAAAGGAGUAUUUACUAUAAAGAUAUACAGGACAUGGUAAGGGAUCCUGAAAUGCAAAUACAGGAAUUGUAAAUGGAUGUCAAUACAUUAUAGGAAAGGUUCAGAGUUCAGGCUCUCAAAGGAGACUGCAAAGGUUAGUCUUUGGGAGGCAUCAUUUGCUCACUCUACGGCCUUAAGAAACAGUUUAACUUUUCUGUGCCUUGAUAUGUAGAGUGGUGUUCCCAUAUGUAGAGUAGACUGUGGUCCCAACCUCUUAAAGUAGUUGGGAAGAUAAAAUGAGUUAAUCCUUGUGGACCAUUUGGAAUACUACCUGACACAGGAUUCACUCGCAAUUGACAACAGUAAGAAGUGCAAGUGAAAAGAUGUGAAGUAACAAGAAGUAACAGAAACAAAACAUAAUCAGCAAAAUGCAGCGCCCACCAAACUGUAAACUCAAGUUUACUGCUGGACACUUAGGAUACUCAACAUGAAGCACUCAACCUGGUAUUAUGACACCCAAUUUUUGUUGAAGACAUCACUUGAAGGGAUUUAUAAUGAUUUGUAUUCAUUUAAGGAAAUGGAAUAAAUGAAUUAUGU